ACUGUGCGCUAAUCUUCACUGAUUUUACCCAAAAGUGAUAUAGAUGGUGACAUCUGAUGAGGGUUUGAAGACCUUUCAUGGACAAAAUAUUAUAUUUACAGAUACAUAUCUGAUGUAAUAAAUCUAGUCAGAUGGUGAGAUAGCCAAGUGAUUCAGGUGCUUCAGGUACAAUAUCUCAAAUUACAUGUUUUGCCAUGAGGGCCCCAGAUACAUUCUUAGAAGACUGAACUCAGCCCUUCAUACGUCCAACCCAUCAAUGUAUAAUCUGCUACUUUCUUGAAAACGUGCAAAAUCUAAGUGUGUGUUUUCUGGUUAAAUGAUUUGAUAGUAUUAGUAUAUAUUAAACGCAGUAUUAGAUAUUGUGUGCCUUAAAUUGGUCCUGUCAUCUUCUUUCCACGUAGCUUCUCUGUACGAGGGUAACAGAAUGGAUAUUUUUGUUAGCUAUUUUCACAAUGUUGGAUUGUUUACAAGAUAAUUUGUUCUUCACUCAUUUAUUCAUGAAAAUUCAUAUUUUAAAUCAACAUUGAAAUAGUGUACUAUAUUGCCAGGAAUUCAAAGUGAAUUUCCAGUCUAAGGCUACAUUAGCUAAACUGGGGAAAUUGCUCAGGCCAGCAAUGCCUGCAGUUCAGCUAGUUUGCCCUUAAAUUUAUAGUUUACAUAUACCGUGUCUGUGUAUAUGGCAUAGCUUUAAGACACACUAAAGUUUAAACUCGGGGUAAUCAAUCAAUAGAUUUCCAGCCAUUAGUGUUGGAAGCUGGAGGGUAGGAGAAAACGUCACCCCCCCAAGAAAAUUGAGUGUAAGGUUUGAGAAUAGUAGGGGGGAGGGUAGGGAUGUAAUACCGCCCCCUUCCAAUUCAUAAAGGUGUAGAUCACAUUUUGAUUUUUAAGAAACAUGAGAAACACAUUUUCAAGGAGUAGCUUAACACAUAUUUUCUAAAACAAUUAAAUUUUAACCAUAAGAUUACUAAAUAUCAGUGGACAGAUGUUUAUUGAACAAUUGCUUAUUCAGUAUUAUCGCAUAUAUACUAAAAGAUGAGGCCAGGUAGCUUAAAUAGGCCUAUAUCCCAUUGUAUCAAAAGCAUCCCCAAUGUUACUCUAUCAAUUUGCCCAUAAGAACUGCAUAGUUUAAAGGGACUCUGUAGGCACUGUAUCUGCUUCAUAUCAUUAAACUGGUUAUAGUGUCUGGAGUCCCCUGGUAUCGUCAUUUCAUUAAACAUUUAAUCGGUUUUAAUGUUUUUAUGUGUUAAUGCUAAAUGAGAAUCCCCCUCUGUGCUGCUUUGGCUACUGAGGAAGUAUUUGCCUGAGCAGCAAUGGGCAAUCGUGAUUGGCUGAUAGUGUCAGCUGACUGCUUUUAGCCUAUCAGAGCUCUAACUUGACAGUAUGAAGGCUAUGAAUACUAGGAAGUGUAUAAUCUCUGCCUUAGCCACACCUCCAGAAGGGGUCGGACUGUGUGUGGCCAGGGACCCUUAUUUAAUGUUAAAUAGCUCUAAUUUGGUUUAACGCUGAAUGUAGGCACAGUGCCAGGGUGCUCCAGGAACUAUAACCAAUUCAAAGAGAUUUAAUAGUUAGAGUGACUGCAAUGCCCCUUUAAUGUAUUGUUCCUGAGGGUGCAUGUUUUGUAUGAACGGUUGCCCUUGCUCCAUUUACUUUGAUAAUCAAUGAUGUUUUCGGUUGUUGGUUCCUGACGAAUAUUGGUGCUUUAAUUUAACGACCGCUAGUGAGUUCAUUUGCUAUGGUUUAAUAUAAAUGAAGGGAGCGUAUUACACAGGAAAUACACCUAACUAAAUUGCCAGGUAUACUCUAAAACUCACUCUGGACUGCAGCUUUGGUCAUGCAGAAAUCUCUCACUAUGGCUGACCCAUCCUAAAUUUUGAUUUGCUUUGUUUUGUGGGGUUGAGAGAGUACAUUUAGCAACUCAGCUGUCAGCCCACCACAUCUCAUUAUGGGAUUACAUUAAGUGGUAUUUUCUGUCCUUGUAGUGAGUUGAGAAACUUUGUGCAAAAUGUAAACCGAGCAGAUCUGGGGGGAAACAAAAAAAUCAACAAAAUCCAACAGUCAUUCUCUCAUACACACCGCAAGCAUCCUGGAACAAUAUUCACAGAGUCCAUUUUCACCAAAGCUUUAUAUUCUCUAGUCUAUUUCAAGCAAAUUCUCACUAGAAAACUCUCCUGCAUAAUACCUUUUUUUUUUGCCUGCAGAUAUACUGAAUUACUUUCAAAGAGCAGUCACAUUUCUUGAAAUUAUAGGAAAUAUAUCUUGAACUUGAUAAAUAAACCAAAGAUACUACUUAGGUUAUUUUCUAAACUGGAGAUGACAAUUUUUUUAGGUCAAACGGCAAGCCGAGAUCUAUAUUUGAUCUACAAUGUGCAAUUUCCUUGUCAAAUCUCUACAACAAUUCCUGGUUUAGUAAAUAAUCCUGAGAUACCUAAUAUCGUUUACUUUUUUGCUUUGAUGUUGCCUGAACCGUUGAUAUUUUUGCUAUAUCUGUUACUGUAUUUCAGAUGAAUACCGUCCGGUUAGUCUGACAUUUUUAUGGUUUUGUCAUCAGGCAGAAUAAUUGCGAUCUCUCUCUAUUUCAGGAAUGUAUGAAUGUAUCUAUCAAGCUAUCAGUACCUCAUGAACACGUAUUUGCAGUUUUCUUCUCUAUAUUUUACGUCUUCUGUAACUUAAAUUGUGUAGCUUUAACUAAUAAAAGAAGCCAGAAGGAACACGUGCCUUUUUACUUCUAAAUGUAUUCGAAUUUUGCUUUGUUGAUGUGAUGCUUGUGUUAGUCGAAUGCCGGUCAUUCUGUCGCUGAGCAUUUAUGUCAGUGUGGCGGCCCUGUGGCUGACAGAAAAACUACUGUUAUUAUGUUGGUAAUGUUAUAUUUUAUAAACUUAAGUGCCAUUAAAUUUUCAAACCUGA